GAUGAACGCUGGCGGCGUGCCUAAUACAUGCAAGUCGAGCGAACAGACGAGGAGCUUGCUCCUCUGACGUUAGCGGCGGACGGGUGAGUAACACGUGUAUAACCUACCUAUAAGACUGGGAUAACUUCGGGAAACCGGAGCUAAUACCGGAUGAUCUAUUGAACCGCAUGGUUCAAUAGUGAAAGACGGUGUUUCUGUCACGUAUAGAUGGAUCCGCGCCGCAUUAGAUGGUUGUUAAGGUAACGGCUUAGCAAGGCAACGAUGCGUAGCCGACCUGAGAGGGGGAUCGGCGACCCUGGAACGGGACCGCGGACAAGACUACUGAGGGAGGGAGCAGUAGGGAAUGGUACGCAGUAGGGGAAAGCCUGACGGAGCAAGGCCGCGUGAGAGAUGACAGCCUUCGGAGCGUAAUGCUCUGUUAUUAGGGAAGAACAAAUGUGGAAGUAACUAUGCACGUAGUGACGGUACCUGGUAAGAAAGCAACGGCUAACUACGUG
rnacentral:rRNA from 1 species